rnacentral:lncRNA from 1 species
GCCCAGCAGGCUCCUGCUCCAGCCCAGCCCCCAGAGAGCAGACCCCAGGUGCUGGCCCCGGGGGUUUUGGUCUGAGCCUCAGUCACUGUGUUAUGUCUUCGGAACUGGGACCAAGGUCACCGUCCUAGGUCAGCCCAAGGCCAACCCCACAGUCACCCUGUUCCCGCCCUCCUCUGAGGAGCUCCAAGCCAACAAGGCCACACUAGUGUGUCUGAUCAGUGACUUCUACCCGGGAGCUGUGACAGUGGCCUGGAAGGCAGAUGGCAGCCCCGUCAAGGCGGGAGUGGAGACCACCACACCCUCCAAACAGAGCAACAACAAGUACGCGGCCAGCAGCUACCUGAGCCUGACGCCUGAGCAGUGGAAGUCCCACAGAAGCUACAGCUGCCAGGUCACGCAUGAAGGGAGCACCGUGGAGAAGACAGUGGCCCCUACAGAAUGUUCAUAGGUUCCCAACUCUCACCCCACCCACGGGAGCCUGGAGCUGCAGGAUCCCAGGGGAGGGGUCUCUCUCCCCAUCCCAAGUCAUCCAGCCCUUCUCCCUGCACUCAUGAAACCCUAAUAAAUAUCCUCAUUGACAACCAGAAAUCUUGUUUUAUCUCCUUUUUUCUUUUCUCACAUAAAUUGCUAGCCUCCCCGGGGUUCUCAGUGUGGGGUACAGGGAAUUCUGCACCCAGUGUGAAAAUCACCCAAGGGAGGAGGCUCACAGCCUCCCUGAGUCAUCUCCCCAGAGGGUCCUUCCUCUCCCAGUCACCCCUUCUCCAACUCUCCACUGUACCCCUGAGCCACCAGUCUGGCAUCAGUUCAGACCAGUCCCACACCCUCCUAAAUUUUACUUCUCAAUAAAUACCUGAUCAUGUAAAACCCAG